UUGUAUGUAAGCUCUGUACAAUUCUCUCUUGUUGAGUGUGGGCAAAAGCUCACACUCAGUCCCAGGAUUAAGUUACUAAUCACUUGAUGUUGUCUUAAUUGAAAGGCAGAUUACCCAGCACCACGGCCAAACCACAGCUCUGAGUGGGGAACCACAUUUGAACAGACUAGUCCCUUCUGCCUUCUGGGCAGGUCACAUCUGAAAGAUUAUCCUCUUUGAAUCAGUUUGAAUGUUCUAGUGACCAGGCCACACAGUUUCUCUUGACAUUUAAAAAUAAAGCUUCCAGUCUUGUCACUAAUGGAUUUGGGGCCCAGUACCCUUAAAAUCACCUCAGAGCUGCCUGAAUCCACAGACUACUUGCAGAAUCACUGGUUUUACUUGAAUCAAGCCAUCUGAGAAGUUUGGCUGAAAUAAAAACUCAAAGCCCCCACAAUAUUGAACCACCAUUCCAGACCCAGCCAAGGUUUGGAACAUAAAGUGAGCUGAAUGAAUCAGCCUGCAGGCAACCCAGAGAAAGUAAUUGUUCAUCCUAGCAGCACGGCUGCUUUUCUGCUUAGCAUCUGAACAAGUUAAUUUGGAAACACAGCCUUCUGGAAAGAAAUGGCGCUUCUCUCAGCAUCCCAUGGAUUCAUGAGCAGCUCCUUGAAUGCAAAUAUUGCCUAAUAUUUUCAUGGUAUUCACAGAUUUGGGAAGUGACGAUGGAUUCAAAUACAGGACAUCCUAUCUGCAUUCCUAAACAUAGAAGACAAGGUGUUGGAUCAGCUUGCCCCACAUAAAAGAGAUUAUGAAUCCAAAUUAGAG